rnacentral:tRNA from 1 species
GCAGGUGUAGUUCAAUAGUAGAACGAUAGGCCUCCAACCUAUAGACGCGGGGGCGGAACCCGUCAUCUGCUCCA